rnacentral:rRNA from 1 species
UACAGAGGUCUCAAGCGUUGUUCGGAUUCAUUGGGCGUAAAGGGUGCGUAGGCGGUGGGGUAAGUCGGAUGUGAAAUCCCGGGGCUCAACUCCGGAACUGCAUUCGAAACUGCCUUGCUCGAGUACUGGAGAGGAGACUGGAAUUUACGGUGUAGCGGUGAAAUGCGUAGAUAUCGUAAGGAAGACCAGUGGCGAAGGCGAGUCUCUGGACAGUUACUGACACUGAGGCACGAAAGCUAGGGGAGCAAACAGG